GUAGGUUUCUUGGUUAUGCUGAUGACAGGCAGUGCCCGAACUCUAGGCUGGGAGUUGUGCCAUGCUGCUGCUUUCGUGGGCUGACCAGAAAAGGGUAGAAGGAUUGGCGUUUACGAAGUUUUUGAAUCAGGAGGCAAGGUCGCCUUGUGCCCCCAAAAGGGUAGAAAAAGGCCUGGCAAACUGGAAAAUCGCGUCCUUACGGUGCCUACAUAUUUAUGGUAUCCUGUGUUUUCCAGUUGAAAGCUUGUGAAAAUUCGCUUUAUCCUUGAAAUACAGAAUUUUCACCAGGAUGUAUGAAGACCCUGUCCUCGAUGGAUCAGCUGGCACCACCCAGAUG